GAUCAGGCUCAGGACGAACGCUGGCGGCGCGCCUAACACAUGCAAGUCGAACGAGAGAUGAGGAGCUUGCUCUUCAAAUCGAGUGGCGAACGGGUGAGUAACGCGUGAGGAACCUGCCUCAAAGAGGGGGACAACAGUUGGAAACGACUGCUAAUACCGCAUAAGCCCACGGCUCGGCAUCGAGCAGAGGGAAAAGGAGCAAUCCGCUUUGAGAUGGCCUCGCGUCCGAUUAG
rnacentral:rRNA from 1 species